rnacentral:misc_RNA from 1 species
GAUGAAGAACGCAGCGAAAUGCGAUAAGUAAUGUGAAUUGCAGAAUUCAGUGAAUCAUCGAAUCUUUGAACGCACAUUCGCCCCCUGGUAUUCCGGGGGGCAUGCCUGUCCGAGCGUCAUUACAACCCUCAAGCUCAGCUUGGUAUUGGGCCCCGCCGACCCGGCGGGCCCUAAAGUCAGUGGCGGUGCCGUCCGGCUCCGAGCGUAGUAAUUCUUCUCGCUCUGGAGGUCCGGUCGUGUGCUCGCCAGCAACCCCCAAUUUUUUUCAGGUUGACCUCGGAUCAGGUAGGGAUACCCGCUGAACUUAAGCAUAUCAAUAAGCGGAGGA